CAUUGACACAUGUCUUUACGUACGUCUAUAUCUGAGUAUAACUGCAGGCAGGUUCUGUUCACAUUUCGGUUCUUCUACGUUUGUGCGAGUUUGCGUCAGGGUGUUUUUGCAUUUCUUCAGUUGCAGGUGCCUAUGUUUGUAGGUGCGAACAUGCAGGCAGUCGUGUGUGUAUCGAAAGCAGCAAUGCUUCUGCAUCUGCAAAAGUACAAAAAUUUCGACUUGUGCCUGUGGACCUGUGUACAGUAUUUGUGGGUAUGAAGUCGUUUUCACAAGAGCAAUGCGAGGUGGAAGGGAGUGGAUUCCGGUUUGCGCCAGUGAGUUUUUCUCGCAUGACGGAGCGAAAUCAGCUCUGCAGCUCUUCCGAGAGAGCCUCUGCGGGGAGGCCGGCAGGGAAGUCGCACACUCAGCACAAGCAACGGAAGGCGCAGAAGAGAAAGGGAGAACGCGAAAAAGCGGGAGACAGAGGAGAACGUAGGGAAGAGCGAAAGAGAGACACCAGCACUGAGAAAAAGAGAGGAAGGGAGAGACACCGGACGGGGAACGGGAGUAUGUGGUUCCGACAUUUGAAGAGAAAAGAGACACUGUGAAGGUUGUGGAUGCCGAAAUUUAACAGUCCUCGCGCUUUGCAAGCAGAGAUCUUUUCCAACGCGUGGAGGAAGCGAGAGCGUUUUUUCGAAAGAUCUAACUCAGGGCAAGGCGAGGCUUUGAAAUCUCGACUGCCACCAGAGUUAGCUGUCUCUGCCUUUUGAGUUCUUGGCGGCAUUUGCAUUGCUUCACUGAAGGAGAGAUGAACUCGAGGCAAUCGUUUUCCCUCCAGUCCCGGAGCUGUGAAAGGUUCUCCUGCUGUCGCUUCAGUCAAGAGUCCUCUUUUUAUCCUCUCCCUCUGUGAACGAAGUCGAGACGACUGGGUGGCGAACAUGACAUUUGCCGAGACCGAAAACUCUCAUUUGGCCAAGUGUAAGGAGAGUUCCGGUCUCCGGUGUCGCCGCCAGCGCAGCUCCAGCUCGCUUGCUGGAUGUCUUCGUCGUCUGGUUUCUCCAGUGUCCUCCCCUGGCGCAGAAGGCGCAGAACGCCCUUCCGAGGCAUCCAGUUCUUUUCUCUGCUUUUCGCGAAAGAGACGCUCACCUGUUCAUGUAGCAGAAUUCGUCCGUGAGAGAUCUGUGGCUUCGGAUGAACUCCACGAAGUCUCUUGGUUUGAUCUGCUUCCCUUCCUCGCUCACGCAGGUCGGCAAGUCCGCCGCUGCGUCUGGGCCUCCAGGGCGCCGACUCGAGGUAUUUGCCGCCGCGAGGUCGCGAGUCUGUGGAGCAGAAGGCACUCGAAACCACACAGGACAGAAAGCGGAGAGGUGCAAGUUGCGUCCUCGGUUUCGAAGGGAAGGAAGUCGCGAAGCAGAAAAAGGAAGGCUCUAAGCGGCGUCUCCGUCUACUGCGCUCUGAGCCACUGGGGACGAACGAACGACGCCAGAGAACGUCGGAGGUCUCCACCCCUCUCGUCGACAAGCUCGUGUGGAUGGAAAACCACGGCAACGACACAAGGAACCUCCGCAGCGAAGACAAAACGGAAGCCAGACUCGAAGCAGACGAAGACCGAGUCUGGUGAGAGACGGGAAAUCAGACCGUCAGAGAAAGGGUACGGAGAUUCGUGAGAGUCGCGUCGGCCUCCUUCCCCUCUCUCUUGUCGAUGCAAGAGAAGGCUCAGGUCACAACUGGAGGCCUCAGGGAAAGCAGCAGUCUCUGAAAACAAGGAAGCAUUCGUUGUCUUGAGCAUGCCUUGAGCAUGCCUUGAGCAUGCUCUGGAAACGUGGAGUCGACAUCUGCGAAAAACAUCGGCUGCGUGACUCGUCAGAUGCGAGUAUCUGCUUAUUUCUGCCUCGCGCUCUCUUUCGAAACCGUAAACGCCCGGAAAAACCUUCGAGCUCGCGCUGUCUCUGCCUACGUGGAAAAGAGAGCCUUCAUCUUGCCCCCUCGAGCUCGGACUGCUUCCGAGGCGUCUCUCUGCUCGCUUCUUGUCGCCAGGCGACGCAGACUCCGGACUCUGUCCGCCGCGAAAGCCGUUCUCCGUCUCCAACUUGGCUCUGCCUUCCCUCUGUGCCAUAUGCAGCUUCAUGUUCAGCGGCAAGACAUUCGUGUGUGGAACGACCAGCUGGCG
rnacentral:lncRNA from 1 species